rnacentral:rRNA from 1 species
UACGGAGGAUCCAAGCGUUAUCCGGAUUUAUUGGGUUUAAAGGGUGCGUAGGUGGCUUUUUAAGUCAGGGGUGAAAGACGGUAGCUUAACUAUCGCAGUGCCUUUGAUACUGAAGAGCUUGAAUGAACUAGAGGUAGGCGGAAUGUGACAAGUAGCGGUGAAAUGCAUAGAUAUGUCACAGAACACCAAUUGCGAAGGCAGCUUACUAUGGUUAAAUUGACACUGAGGCACGAAAGCGUGGGGAUCAAACAGG